rnacentral:rRNA from 1 species
CCUACGGGGGGCUGCAGUGGGGAAUAUUGGACAAUGGGGGCAACCCUGAUCCAGCCAUGCCGCGUGUGUGAAGAAGGCCCUCGGGUUGUAAAGCACUUUCAGUGAGGAAGAACGCCUGGUGGUUAAUACCCAUCAGGAAAGACAUCACUCACAGAAGAAGCACCGGCUAACUCCGUGCCAGCAGCCGCGGUAAUACGGAGGGUGCGAGCGUUAAUCGGAAUUACUGGGCGUAAAGCGCGCGUAGGUGGCUUGAUAAGCCGGUUGUGAAAGCCCCGGGCUCAACCUGGGAACGGCAUCCGGAACUGUCAAGCUAGAGUGCAGGAGAGGAAGGUAGAAUUCCCGGGGUAGCGGUGAAAUGCGUAGAGAUCGGGAGGAAUACCAGUGGCGAAGGCGGCCUUCUGGACUGACACUGACACUGAGGUGCGAAAGCGUGGGUAGCAAACAGGAUUAGAUACCCUGGUAGUC